ACCCUUUCAGCGCCGUCGAUGCCCAUACAGCAACCGGCCUCUUCAAUGUAAGGAUCACAAUUAUCAGCAGCUUUGCAGAGUGAUUAAUGAUUUUAGUGGGAAACUGUUGUUUAAAUUAAGUUACCAUUGAUUUAUCUGACAUGCAGGAAUAUGUCAUGGGCGCUCUUUCAGACAAGACUGUUCUUCUGGUCACCCACCAAGUCGAUUUUCUACCCGUCUUCGACUCCAUUCUGGUCUCCCUCUCACACACACAUAUCUAUAAUGGCCUGUAAGUUUUUGUUCAUGUUAUCAUCUAAACUAGUCGUAAUUUUUAACAGCUGAUGUCAGAUGGGGAGGUUAUUCGGUCGGCACCUUAUCGAGAUCUAUUGGCGGACUGUCAAGAAUUCAAAGACCUUGUAAAUGCCCAUAAGGAUACCAUUGGGAUUUCAGAUGUUGAUAACAAUGCUGCUCCUCACAGAGCAAACGGAACAUCAACAAAGGAGAAGCAUCAUGCCUAUGGAAGUGGAUACACAAAGUCUGAGAAGCCAUCACCAGCACACCAACUGAUCAAGGAAGAGGAAAGAGAGACAGGAGACACUGGACUUAAGCCCUACAUGAUUUACCUGCGCCAGAACAGAGGCUUCAUGUAUGCCUCUCUGUGUGUCAUUUCUCACAUGAUCUUCAUAGCGGGG
rnacentral:lncRNA from 1 species